UACCUUUGUACCCGAGGGCGAGACAGUGAUUUACGGGAUCACUAAACCCGUCAACAGUUUCAAUCCACUUAAAGUGACC
rnacentral:tRNA from 1 species